GUCCAUCAGGCCUAGGUCCUAACUUCCUGUUUUUAGUGCCCAACCGCCCAUCAGGCCUAGGUCCUAACUUCCUGUUUUUAGUGCCCAACCGUCCAUCAGGCCUAGGUCCUAACU